UACGUAGGUGGCAAGCGUUAUCCGGAUUUACUGGGUGUAAAGGGUGUGUAGGCGGGCAGGCAAGUCAGAUGUGAAAUCUUGUGGCUCAACCACAAGACUGCGUCUGAAACUGCAGGUCUUGAGUGUCGGAGGGGUAGAUGGAAUUUCCAGUGUAGCGGUGAAAUGCGUAGAUAUUGGAAAGAACACCGGUGGCGAAGGCGAUCUACUGGACGAUAACUGACGCUGAUACACGAAAGUGUGGGGAG
rnacentral:rRNA from 1 species